ACUCAAAUAAAUCUAUGAGGAAAUUUCAUCAGAUAAGUCAUUUCAGAUGUACUAUUUGCUUACCACAUUCGCAGUAUAGGAACCCCUAUACACGUUAUGUGUAGACUAUUUAAGAAAAACAAUGAUCAGUUCAUAUUGCUGUUAUGUGUUAUUUUCUAAUGAUAGAUAUAUUGUUUGCACAUAGCUUCGAUAAACCCUGUCAUUUCAAUGCUAUAUGCGUGCAUCUUCGAUACAAGAAAAUGUUGUCAUAUUGUCAAAAAUUUUAUACAGAAAGUUCAGCUGGAAAAUCCACCACAAACUAUGGUUUUUCUUGCAUUUGGUAGAUGUACUCGUAUUUUGAUACUAUAAAAAGAAAUUUGCCGUGAUGCUGAUGGAGUAGAAGGUGGCGCGAGAACCAGUAGAUCUCGCCUAACGACGCCGAGCAAUUUGCUGUUUCGUAAGAACCCAAUAGCGGAUAUGGGUUGCAGUCGAUCCAGCAACAGCAGGGAUCUGGCCAGUAGUAGCAAAACAAUCUUGACGGCAACCGCAGCGGAGGCGAUUGUGGUAACUUACAACGCGGAAACAUGCCGAUGCGCAACCGGAACAACAUCCAGGGCAGCCAAGGUGGUUGACAGCAGCAACACGCAAGAAUCGCAACUCCUGAAAAAGCUACCCAACAAACAUUGGAAGCUAAAUAAGGGCUUAUUUCGUUAAAAAUUAGCUUCUUCAGCUAAAAAACUAGCUUGUUCAACUCAAAUUGUUUGUUGGGUAUGGCCAAUUGGAGGAUAACUUCAACAAGAAAAGGCAGACUGAAACAACUACCGGGAACUCAGUAAUAAUCGUUCCAUCUCAGCAACCAACGUAAAUAACCAAAAACGAAAAUGAAUCGUCCAUGUUUUUGAGCCGCCGCAAGAUGAUUUCCAUCCGGAACCUGCUAUAAACAUACCUUCUACAUAUUCCAAAAUGCAACGUUAAAUUAAAAGAAAAAUACAAAAAUAAAAAAAUAUAUUUUAAACUUUUAUUAAUUUGUCUUAUUUAUUAUGGAUAAUCAUAUUACACACCACAAUAACUAUAAAGUAUUCAAAUCAAUUGCGUAUGGAUUUUCUAUGAAACCUAUUAGGUUUGCAUAUAAUUGCUCUAAUGUUCAAUGUUAUUUUCCAUAUUAUUAACCAAUAAUCUUCUA